AUGGCGGAAUUCGCGCUUGGUCUGACCAAGACGGCGGUGGAGGGGACGCUGAGCCGGGUGAAGUCGGCUAUCGAGGAGGAGGGGAAGCAGAGGGAGCGUGUGCAGGAAGACCUGGUCUUCAUCACUGGAGAGUUCCAGAUGAUGCAGGCCUUCCUGAACGCCUCCAGCGCCGGGGAGCGUGCAUCCAAUAACCUGGUGGCCGGGGCGUGGGUGAGGCAGCUCCGCGACCUCGCCUUCGACGUGGAGGACUGCGUCGAGUUCGUGGUCAGCCUCGACAAGCCGUCGCCCUGGGACUGGGUCCAGCGCCUUGCCUCGUCCCUCCCCUGCCUUGCCAGGCCGCCGCUGCCCCUGGACGAGGCGGUGGCGGAGAUAAAGCGGCUCAAGGCGAGGGUUGAGGAUGUAAGCCAGAGGAACACACGCUACAACCUCAUGGCUGGCGGUGACGACCACGACGACGAUGAAAAUCAACAUCGGCAGAUGCUAAUGUACCCUGCAAAGGUUCAAACAGCAGCAGAAGCCGAAACCUUCCUCGCUCUAAGGCAGGUUUGGAAGGCCAUGGGAAAGCUUCAUGAGGCCACCGGCGAUCUGAAAAGGUUGAUCGAUUGCCAAGGAAGUGAGCUCAAAGUGAUCACCCUGUGGGGAAGUCAUCAAGCUGAUAAUACUGGGGAACUUGGGUGGGCGAGUAUUGUGAAGAAGGCCUACAUUGACCCAGAAAUCUGCCAGCAAUUCAAGAAUCGCGCAUGUGUAAAGCUGGCCUAUCCUUUUAACCCAGUAGAGUUCCUCAACAACUUACUCACUCACUUCACAUCCCACCGCCAUGACCGACAUGAUGAUAUGUCCAAGCUCAUUCUGCAACUCAGCCAACACAAGUACCUCAUCAUCCUAGAGCAAGAGCUAUCCAGUGUCGCGGACUGGGAGGCCAUCAAAAUGUACCUUCCCGACGGCAACAACGGCAGCCGGAUCAUCGUCUCAACCAAGCACUUGGGAGUUGCCCGUGUCUGCACUGGGGAACCCUUCCAAGUAUGGGAGCUGCAACGCUUCUCUGGUGAUCGGUAUCUUUGUGCCAUUUUCCCCAAGGGUUGUGGGCAUCGGAUCGGCUUGGCUGAACUCGUUUGGCAACUAAGACGACACCCUGCUGUUAUCUCCCUCUACUUUCAGAACAAUGACGACAAAGACCAACUACUGUACCCAUCCAAGGAGUUGAGGAUAUUCGACGGAGUGAAGUUUGAAUACCAGUGCCACCCCUUUCUAGGUCAUGGGCUCAAGCUGGUUGACUUGGCUGAGGAAAUACUUUUGGAACCUUACCCAGAAGAUAAAUUUGAAGAGAUGUUCAGUGGGAUGGAUGACCAACAUAAAAUUGAAAGCUGUCAUGAGUUUCUGACUCAACAUGAUUACCUCAUCUAUGUGGAACUGGAGUCCACUGCAGACUGGGACUUGAUCAGACAGCACAUCUUGCGUGACUCUACGAGAGCUUGCAUCGUUGUUAUUACUACUGAUCCAAGUGUGGCCAAACAUUGUGUAGGCCACCAGCACCACCUGGCGUUCAACGUUGAAGAUCUGUUGAACAAGGGUUCUUCUGAUCAACAACACCAGAGUGGACAUGCGGAUGGAGGCCGAGAGAGCAUAGUAAUAAAGGAAGAGGGCGAGCAUGAACCUGAUGAGCUUGUUGGGCGUGAAGAUGAAAGUGACUUCUUCCAUGGCUUAUCUCAACUCAUGACUGUGUCGUCCGUGUGGGGGAUCGCAGGUGUUGGGAAAUCAGCUAUCGUCAAGAAAUAUUACAAAUACAUCAAACUCAACACACAAGAUUACAGAAUGUACGGGUGGGUGAAUGUGGCCCAUCCGUUAAGUUUGAUGGACAUGUGUCGGAGAUUGCUACUGGACUUUUAUUCGGAUGAUCUUGAUGCCAAGGAAACAGCAGCAGUUGGUUUGGUCGAAGGCCAAGACCCUAUUCAAAUGUGUUGCAAAAUCCUGCAUGAAAAGAAAUGCCUCCUUGUUAUUGAUGAUCUGCGGUCCACUCAUGAAUGGGACUUGAUAAAGGCAUCAUUGCUAUCCCAGGCUAACAUUGGUGGUAGAACUAUUGUCAUUACACGCGAAGAGAGCAUCGCCAAACAUUGUACAAAUGCAAUUCAUACAGAACCCGGUAUUCUCAAUCUCAAGGGUCUUGAACCUGACGUGGCCCUUCAUCUCUUCAAAAAGAUAACUUUGGACGGCAAGCCAGAGUCUAAAUUCCCUCCCAAUGCAGAGAAGAUUUCAAAGCUUAUCACAUCCAAGUGUGGCAGCAUUCCGGAAGUAAUAGUUGCCAUAGGAAAAAUUGCCAGCCCAGGCCUAGGGAAUAUUGAGUGGUUGGAGCAUAUAAAUGUUGAAUUCAUGAGGGUACUAGACACCCCUUCAAGUUCUAGUAGUUUAAGGGGCCUAUUUUGUUGGAUGCAAUCCUAUUUUGAUGCUUGCUCAGAUGAACUCAAGCCAUGCAUUUUCUAUAUGUCCAUCUUCCCAGCCGAGCAAAGCAUUAGGCGAAGGCGUUUGCUUAGGCGGUGGAUCGCAGAGGGUUACUCCUCUUGUGGUGGUGGUGGUGGUAUUGCGGAAGAGAAGGCAGAAAAGCUCUUGGCCGACUUCAUGAAGUUGGGCAUAUUUUACAAGGGGCAGAUAUCAUCAACAACAAGAAGCUGCAAGCUCAAUGGUUUCUUUUAUGAGUACAUCAAGUCAAGGCCAAUGGAAGAUAACCUUGUGUUUGAACUAGAGGGGAGUUGUGGCCCUGGCUCACGGCUCACUGGACAACACCUCACCAUAACCAGUAGCUGGGACAGGGAUAAGAUUGUAUUCAAUAGCAUGGACGUGUCAAGGCUAAGGUCUUUGACGGUGUAUGGGAAGUGGGUGCCAUUCCUCAUCAGUUGUGACAAGAUGAAGAUGCUUCGAGUGCUUGAUCUGGAGGACACUAGUAGUGCACUGGAAUCAGAUGGUACUGGUGUAGUAACAGAUGCUGAUCUGGAGAUGAUCGGGAAGUUGUUGACCCGCCUCAAGUUCUUGUCCCUUCGGGGAUGCAUGCAAGUCACUCAUCUCCCUGAUUCGAUGGGUGCCAUGAGGCAGCUGGAGACCCUGGAUGUCCGACACACCAGUAUAUUUGAGCUGCCACCUGCUAUCAUCACCAAGCUACACAAGUUGCAGUACAUCCGUGCUGGCAACACUGACACCACAAGACUAACACCACCACCACCACCAACACCUUCACCGACACCACCACCACCUUCAUCACCACAACCACAACCACAACCACUAGAGGAAGUUCAUGGUGGCACCAGCCCCUUCCUAGGGGCCAAAGCAGCAGCAUUAUGUGUGGCCCCACAGGCAUCCACUAGACUUAAGGGAGCAUGUAAGAGGUGGGCACAUGCUUUGGUGGAAUCCAGAAGCAGCAGCAGCUGUUGGUGGGAGUCCAGGAAGCAGCGGAGUUGCCGUGUUGCUGCAAAUGGCGGCGGUGUUGAGGUUGUUUGUGCUGCCGCAAAGGGGAUUGGGAUGCUGACGGAGUUGCAUACACUCGGUGUUGUGAAUAUUGCAGGUGGGAGAGGCGCCCUCCUCCUCUUCCUCGAGGCGCUCAAGAAUCUUACCCAGCUGCGCAAGCUCGGGUUGUCCGGCAUCAACCCUAAAAACUGGAAGGACUUGUGUUCGGCCAUCUCGGGUCACCUUCCUCAUCUUGAGUCCUUGUCGCUGCAACUGCUGGUGCUGGAGAAGCAAGGCGGCAGCUAUGACUUUGCUUGUUUCGACAACAGCUUCAGGCCGCCAAAGACCCUAAAGAGCCUUAAGGUAUUUUACAGUAGUACUAGAGGUGGUGCAGGCGCAAGUCCUGCAUCCAUAAGGCCAGCCUGGAUCAAUCAGUUUCCCAAUCUCAAGAGGUUUAAUCAUGAGGUGAGGGUUUCAAGUCAAGAUGACAUGGAUAGCAUUGACCAUCGUUGCUUAAGCAGCAGCAGCUCAAGGGUAACUUGUGGACCGCGUGAGAUAUUUGCUAAAGCGGUCAGCAUUCACUGCUGCAGCUCUUGUGGUGGAUCGUCGUGCUUGCAGAUUGAUGGGCUAGAGAGUAUACUUUACCUAAAGGAAGUCUUUGUAACGGGUCCGUGCAGCGACGGCUUCAAGGAAGAGCUACAAAGGCAACUCGGCAAGCAUCAAGGCAAACCUACCCUGAGACUGCUGUAA
rnacentral:rRNA from 1 species